UUUCCGUAGGUGAACCUGCGGAAGGAUCAUUCAUAAUAAAGUGUUUUAUGGCACUUUUUAAAAAUCCAUAUCCACCUUGUGUGCAAUGUUAGAUCUCGUCAAUCUUGGCGAGAUUUUUGUACAUCAACUCAUUUUUUAACUAAUUUGUCUGAAAAAUAUUAUGAAUACUUAAUUCAAAAUACAACUUUCAGCAACGGAUCUCUCGGCUCUCGCAUCGGUGAAGAACGCAGC
rnacentral:misc_RNA from 1 species